rnacentral:rRNA from 1 species
UGCAAGUCGAGGGGUAACGGAAGUAGCUUGCUACUAGACGACGACCGGCGCACGGGUGAGUAACGCGUAUGUAGUCUGCCUUGUACAGAGGGAUAGCCCAGAGAAAUUUGGAUUAAUACCUCAUAGUAUUACUGGAUCGCAUGAUUUGGUAAUUAAAGCUCCGGCGGUACAAGAUGAACAUGCGUGACAUUAGCUAGUUGGUAAGGUAACGGCUUACCAAGGCUACGAUGUCUAGGGGUUCUGAGAGGAUGAUCCCCCACACUGGUACUGAGACACGGACCAGACUCCUACGGGAGGCAGCAGUGAGGAAUAUUGGUCAAUGGACGCAAGUCUGAACCAGCCAUCCCGCGUGAAGGAUGACUGCCCUAUGGGUUGUAAACUUCUUUUAUAUGCAAAUAAACCUACUUUCGUGAAAGUAGCUGAAGGUAGCAUAUGAAUAAACACCGGCUAACUCCGUGCCAGCAGCCGCGGUAAUACGGAGGGUGUAAGCGUUAUCCGGAUUUAUUGCGUUUAAAGGGUAC